CUUAGAUAUUUUAAAUACAAAAAAUAUCCGCCAGAGAAUUACGAGCUAAACAUGCUUAAAACUCUAAGGACUUGGCGGUACCUCAAACCCACCUAGAGGAGCCUGUUCUAUAAUCGACAAUCCACGAUUCACCUCACCAUCUCUUGCCAACUCCGCCUAUAUACCGCCGUCAUAGCUUACCUUAUGAAAGAUAAAAAGUAAGCAAAAUAAUCUAAACAAUUAACAAAUCAGGUCAAGGUGUAGCUUACUGAGAUGGAAGAAAUGGGCUACAUUUUCUAUAUUAGAAAUAACUACGGAAAGAUACCUUGAAAUAGGUUCUACAAGCAGGAUUUAGCAGUAAACUGGGAAAAGAGAGCCCAA
rnacentral:rRNA from 1 species